UGUUUCCUCAGAAGCAAUCUGGGAAGGAAACAAGGCGCACUGUGUCCUCAUUCCUCUGCUUUAUACAGACUUCGUUGAUCAAGGGAGAGUAACUCAUCCACGGCCCCGACAUGCGGUGUGCGCGCGCGCGCACUCGGCGGAGGCAGUAGUGUGUCGGGGCCGACAGAGGCGACAUCAGAGGGAACAAAAGCAGAGGGUGAUGUAUCACAGAAACGCACCUCCUCCUCCUCCCUCAACUCGACUAGAACAGAAGCCAAAAUAUCAGAUUCAGUGUGAUCACUGUAACAGCGAAGGCAUGGUCAAGCACUGGUUUGUGAAUGGAGAGUGAAGCCAGGGAAGCAUUUUUAUUACACUGGUGCUGAAACCUGGGAUGCUGAAGUAAACUGCCACCAUGGAGUCCUCACCAUUUAAAGAACUCGUCCAUGCCCUUGCUGCCACCCAACAGAACCAGCACCAGGCACGGGUCACUAUGUGACCCGCGAGCAGGAGCGGUGCUUUGAGGCCCUGCUGCAGGCCAAACAGGAGGACCGCCAGGCCCUCCUGCAUCUCAUUGUACCCGCAGGGGACCCAGCCACAGAGUCAGCGGGCUUCCCCCAUGUCACCCUGAUAAAAACGGGGCUGCCCGAUGAUGCUGGUGGUGGUUUGGGGCAGAUGAUCACACUGUCGAGGGGGUCAUCAUCGCAGUCGCACUGGAGCACUUCAUAGCUCUGCUACCAAGAGUGCCACCAUGUCCAGUGCCACUGCAAAGUGUCACCGGAUCACACAAUUGAGCUGGCUGAGGAUCAUAUGGCAGUGGUUCCAGUGGCAGGUAGACAUCCUGCCUCUUCUCUCUCUCGUCCUGCCCCUCCUCCUGUUUUGCCCUUUCCUCCCUUCCCCUCCAUAUACCACAGAAGUGGGGGCUGACUCUCCUAUAGCCAGCUCCCCAAGCCCAUGGUUUCUCUCCACCCUCCUCCACUUAUGUUUCUGUUUCUUCCCCCCAGGUGAAUGAUCCUCAUGGCACCAGUGCAGAGGUGAGGCCUGGGCUGGUGUGCUGGCAUUGACCAGUGCCUUGCAGUGGAGGUGGGGGCAGUGGUCCAGAUCCUUGACACACCAGAGACCGCCCCCAAACAAGCUGGAACAUACCACAUACCCAUGAGUAUCCAAGGGGGUACAUAUCAUGUUUUGGUGGAUUCAGACUGUAAUAAUACAUCAAUCCACCAAAGGUUGGCUAAAUAUGAGGCAUUGGAUACAGCACGUUUUGUGAAGGUUCGGUGUGUGCAUGGGGAUAUUCACAAGUGCCCGCAGAUACUGGUAAAAAAUCCAAAUUUAGGGAAUAAAUUAGUGUUGAGGUGGCAGUUAGCCCACGCCUCACCCACCCAUGAAUUCUGGGGACAGAUUUGCCAGGGUUUAGGAGCUUAAAAGAAGGAGUGGUGGGGGGUAGGUCCUGCAGUAGCACGUUCUGAGGGGAUUGCAAUGUGACUGCGUGGCGAAGCCGUCCCAGAGCCGUCUAUGUCAGCCAUGCAUCAUAGCAACAUGGAGAAGAGGGAGCUCACCGCCACUUCUCUUUCUCUCUGGGAUUCCCAAGCAGAUUUUCCUCUGGAGCAGGCGCAAGAUGUGACUCUGUGGCAUGCAUUUGACCAAGUGAAAGUUGCCAGUGGUCAGAAUCUUCCAAACAUUGCACUCUCCCACCUGUACUUUUCCCUUAUUAGGGACAGGCUGUAUCAAGUGACUUAGGACACUCAGACUGGAGAGCAGAUAAUGCACUUGUGAAUACAAAAAAGCUGCAGGGAACCUGUAGUCCACAUGGCUCAUUAUAAUCCAAUGGCUGGACAUUUAGGGAAAGACAAAACACUAACCUAAUUUUUUUACUGGCCGAGGAUUCAUGGGGGAUGUCUGCAGGUGGUGUGCAGCAUGUCACGAGUGCCAACUUGUAAAUCCAAUGGCUUCUCCUAAAGCACUAUUGUGCCUGCUUCCCCUAAUUGAGACCCCCUUUGAAAGAAUUGGGAUGGGUCUUGUUGGGCCACUAGUUCAGAUUGCACAAGGGCAUCACUUUAUUUUAGUCCUUGUGGACUAUGCAAUUCAGUACCCUGAAGCAGUGCUGUGGCAUAACGUUUCUGCAUGCAGUAUUGCAGAGGCUACCUCAAAAGUAGCCAGACAUAUUUAUACAAAUUAAUUUACCUGUAAAAGUCCCUUUCUGGGCGGCACGGUGGUGUAGUGGUUAGCGCUGUCGCCUCACAGCAAGAAGGUCCUGGGUUCGAGCCCCGGGGCCGGCGAGGGCCUUUCUGUGCGGAGUUUGCAUGUUCUCCCC